rnacentral:ncRNA from 1 species
UAAUUGAAGAGUUUGAUCAUGGCUCAGAUUGAACGCUGGCGGCAGGCCUAACACAUGCAAGUCGAACGGUAGCAGGAAGUGCUUGCACUUUGCUGACGAGUGGCGGACGGGUGAGUAAUGCUUGGGAACUUGCCUUUAGGUGGGGGAUAACAGUUGGAAACGACUGCUAAUACCGCAUAAUGUCUACGGACCAAAGGGGGCUUCGGCUCCCGCCUUGAGAGAGG